UACGACUACAUAUCAGGCAUAUCAAUAAGCGGAGGAAAAGAAACUAACUAGGAUUCCCUUAGUAACGGCGAGUGAAGCGGGAAGAGCUCAAAUCUGAAAUCUUCAAGGUUCUACCUUGACGAAUUGUAGUUUAAAGAAGUGUUUUCUGUUGGAGUUUUGGUAAAAGUUCUUUGGAAUAGGACAUCAUAGAGGGUGAGAAUCCCGUAUUUGACCAUUUCUUCCAGCUGUGUGAUACACUUUCAAAGAGUCGGAUUGUUUGGGAAUGCAGUCCAAGAUGGGUGGUAAAUUUCAUCUAAAGCUAAAUAUUGGCGAGAGACCGAUAGCGAACAAGUACCGUGAGGGAAAGAUGAAAAGAACUUUGAAAAGAGAGUUAAACAGUACGUGAAAUUGUCAAAAGGGAAGCGUUUGACACCAGUGUUGUUUUCUCGAAAAUCAAUUAAAAUGGCCUGAUUUGUAAGUUAGUAUUGACUUUAUCAGCUUGCUGCCUUUUUCUUGUCAAUUAUUGAAUGCACUUUUCAGUUAACAAGUCAACAUCCAAUUUCUUUUGUUGUAAAAGAGGUCAUUGGAAGGUGGCUUUCACUUCGGUGAAAGUGUUUAUAGCCUUUGGACUUCUACAAUCGGAGAGAUUGAGGUCUGCAGCGUAGAUCCUUCGGGGUUAGAUACGCUUAGAUGCUAAGCUAUAGCCUUGUAUAGACAACUUGUUGACUAUGCUCAUCAUGUAGCUUACUCGCUUGUACGUAUUUUACCUACGCUUAGGAUGUUGAUCUCUCACAGUCGAGC
rnacentral:rRNA from 1 species